ensembl:lncRNA
CUCUGAUAAUAAGUGUGCUAUUAUACAGGGUGACGACUGUCACGCUGUGGAAGAUUGACUGCAUCUCAGUUUUUCUUCCAUUUUGUAUUUUUUAUUUCCAUUUAUAAUACAUACUUUUAUAUGUGAAGUGGGAAUUACAAGGGUAAAAUAAUAAAGGAUCAAAAAUGAAAAAAAAAAAGCACUCGAGCUUCUGAAACAGCCUUAUAAGAAAUAUGUAGAAAGAGUGAGAGAACAACAGAAAGGGGGGAAGAAGAAGAAGAAGAAGAAGAAGAAGAAGGAGAGGAGAGUAGGAGAAGAAUAAAAAUGAAGGAGAAUAGAAAAAAAAAGAGAAGAAAUAAAUGAAGUGGAGAACUGGAGGGAGAAAGAUCAGAAGGUGUAAGAGGAGAAGAAGACAGACAGAAGAAGAAAGAGAAAGAAGAAGAAAGACAAAAAAGAUGAAGAGAAGAGGCAUGAGAAGAAGGGGGAGAGAAAGGUCUAAGGGGAGAUGAAAGACGAAGAGUUUAAGAGAGGAGGAAGAAGAACAUUUGAGUAGGUGAAGAAAAGAAAAAGUGAAAGGGAACAGAAAAGUAGACAAGAAAUGAAUGAAGAGUGAGGGCAAGGAGGAGAAUAAAAAUGAAGGAAAUUAAACCAAAAUAUAGACCGGAACUACAUGAGGAGGAGGAGAAGAGAACCUCUGGAGUAGAAAGAACAGAAGGAAUAAGAUAAAAAAAGAAAAGAAAGAGAGAUUAAGAAGAGAAAAGGAGGAAGAAUUAAGGAUGGAGAAAAUAUGAAAAAUUGAAAUGAAGACGAGAAAAAAAGGAAGAGAACGAGAGAAGAACGAGAGCAGACGUAGAGACAAAAUGAGAAGAAGAGCUUACCUGUGCAGGAGAAAGGAGAGAAGGUGGAAGAGGAGGAACAUCCUGAAGCUCUCCAUCCAAAAAUAUAUUAAUGUAAAAGAAAAGUGGAAUAAAGUAGAAUAUCGUCCUCUGGAGUGUCGCAGUAGAGUUUCAGUUGCAGCUCCUCUCAGAUAAGAUCUGUAGAUCUGAUGUUCCUCAGAUAAGGUUCAUCUGUGAGAUCGGUGUUGGAGAACUCCAGCCCUGUUCCUGCGUGAGAUCAGACCUGCUGGAGGAGAAGAAGCAGCUGUGGCUCGGCGUCUGUCAUCGCUUUAAAAAACUUUCCUCCAGUUUGUAGAUCGCUUGACCCAUGCCGGUUUUUGACUAUGAUUCUACCUAUCCUUAUGGAUUUGUCUGGCUGCAUCUCAUUAAAGCUUUUAACUGCACUUGCAUCCGUCUCCACCCUGUUUACACGACGGUGAUUUUCCCGUUCGCUCCUGUAAACAGUGUGAGGACAGAGAAGCCUCGUCAGGCCUGAGAGAAAGCCCAGAGGAAAAAAAGAACGAAAAGGAGCUCUGUGAACCACAGAAAGAUUGCGUUUGGUGUUUUUAC